CCCAGUUCAGGGAGGUAGUGACAAUAAAUACCUUACAGAGGUCUCGUUAACCGAGAUCUCUCAAACGGAAUGAGUACAACGUGAAUCCUUUAACGAGGAUCGACUGGAGGGCAAGCCUGGUGCCAGCAGCCGCGGUAAUUCCAGCUCCAGUAGCGUAUAUUAAAGCUGUUGCGGUUAAAAAGCUCGUAGUUGGAUAUCAGUGCGUGUCCGGUCCGGUAUGCCUGGCGGCGUCGCUCACGCGUCGCUGCUGGGCUCCCAAAUAUCGGCUGGCCGCAUUCAAUCGUGCCGGAUCCGUCGACGGGCCGUUUUUCGGAGGGGCCUGUUGGCGACCGGCGACGUUACCUUGAACAAAUUAGAGUGCUCAAAGCAGGCUCUGAAUGCCUGUAUACAUAUUCAUGGAAUUGGAGAAUACGUCCCUGGCUCGAUUUGGUUGGUUUUGAGAGUCGAAGGGAAAUGAUUAAUAGGGACUGACGGAGGCAUUCGUAUUGCGACGCGAGGGGUGAAAUCCUGUGACCGUCGCACGACGAACUACUGCGAAAGCAUUUGCCGAGAAUGUUUUCAUUAGUCAAGAACGAAAGUUAGAGGUUCGAAGGCGAUCAGAUACCGCCCUAGUUCUAACCGUAAACGAUGUCGACCAGCAAUCCGCAACGGUCACUACACGGACUGUGCGGGCAGCUUCCCCGGGGAAACCAGAGUUUUUGGACUCCGGGGGAAGUAUGGUUGCAAAGCUGAAACUUAAAGGAAUUGACGGAAGGGCACCACCAGGAGUGGAGCUUGCGGCUUAAUUUGACUCAACACGGGACAACUCACCAGGCCCGGACACCGUAAGGAUUGACAGACUGAUAGCUCUCUCUUGAUUCAGUGGGUGGUGGUGCAUGGCCGUUCUUAGUUGGUGGAGUGAUUUGUCUGGUUUAUUCCGAUAACGAACGAGACUCUGGCCUAUUAAACUUGACGCUGUCAGUCUCUUGUGACUGCGGCGCGCUUCUUAGAGGGAUCAUCGGCGUCCCAGCCGAAGGAAAGGGAGCAAUAACAGGUCUGUGAUGCCCUUAGAUGUUCUGGGCUGCACGCGUGUUACACUGAAGUGGUCAGCGCGCCGUUCAACGUCCCUCUCCGUGAGGAGCGGGCAAACGUUUGAACCCUUUUCGUGAUGGGAAUUGGGGGUUGCAAUUGUCCCCCAUGAACGAGGAAUUCCAAGUAAGCGCAAGUCACUAGCUUGCGUUGAUUAAGUCCCUGCCCUUUGUACACACCGCCCGUCGCUACUACCGAUGGAUGAUUUGGUGAGGUCGCCUA
rnacentral:rRNA from 1 species